rnacentral:rRNA from 1 species
UAGGGAAUCUUGCGCAAUGGGCGAAAGCCUGACGCAGCAACGCCGCGUGGGGGAUGAAGGCCCUCGGGUUGUAAACCCCUUUCAGCAGGAACGAAUCUGACGGUACCUGCAGAAGAAGGCCCGGCUAACUACGUGCCAGCAGCCGCGGUAACACGUAGGGGCCAAGCGUUGUCCGGAUUCAUGGGGCGUAAAGAGCUCGUAGGCGGUUCAGUUAGUCGGGUGUGAAAUCUCCGGGCUCAACUCGGAGGGGCCACCCGAUACUGCUGUGACUCGAGUCCGGUAGGGGAGUGGGGACUUCCUGGUGUAGCGGUGAAAUGCGCAGAUAUCAGGAGGAACACCGGUGGCGAAGGCGCCACUCUGGGCCGGUACUGACGCUGAGGAGCGAAAGCGUGGGGAGCAAACAGG